UACGUAGGGUGCUAGCGUUAUCCGGAUUUACUGGGCGUAAAGGGAGCGCAGGUGGUUUCUUAAGUCUGAUGUGAAAGCCCACGGCUCAACCGUGGAGGGUCAUUGGAAACUGGGAAACUUGAGUACAGAAGAGGAAAGUGGAAUUCCAUGUGUAGCGGUGGAAUGCGUAGAUAUAUGGAGGAACACCAGUGGCGAAGGCGACUUUCUGGUCUGUUACUGACACUGAGGCUCGAAAGCGUGGGGAGCAAACAGG
rnacentral:rRNA from 1 species